UGCUGACCUGCACUGACUCCCAAC
rnacentral:piRNA from 1 species